rnacentral:rRNA from 1 species
CCUACGGGGAGGCAGCAGUGAGGAAUUUUCCGCAAUGGGCGAAAGCCUGACGGAGCAAUACCGCGUGAGGGAUGAAGGAUUUUGGUCUGUAAACCUCUUUUCUCAAGAAAGAAGUUCUGACGGUACUUGAGGAAUAAGCAUCGGCUAACUCCGUGCCAGCAGCCGCGGUAAUACGGGGGAUGCAAGCGUUAUCCGGAAUGAUUGGGCGUAAAGCGCCUGUAGGUUGUUUAUUAAGUCCGUUGUUAAAGCCUAGGGCUUAACCCUAGAAAAGCAAUGGAAACUAGUAGACUAGAGUAUGGCAGGGGUAGAGGGAAUUUCUAGUGUAGCGGUGAAAUGCGUAGAUAUUAGAAAGAACACCGGUGGCGAAAGCGCUCUACUGGACCAUUACUGACACUCAGAGGCGAAAGCUAGGGUAGCAAAAGGGAUUAGAUACCCCUGUAGUCCUAGCCGUAAACGAUGGAUACUAGAUGUUGUGCAUUAUGUACAGUAUCGUAGCUAACGCGUUAAGUAUCCCGCCUGGGGAGUACGCUCGCAGGGUGAAACUUAAAGGAAUUGACG